rnacentral:rRNA from 1 species
AGUUGUAUUAUUAGUUAAUGCAAGAUCGACUACGUCGACUAAAGUUCUAGGUAGAAUAAUGAUGAUGACAAUUUUUUACCUAUAUGUCUUGACCAAGUCUCGUGCCAGCAGUCGCGGUAAUACGUGGAAGACUAGUGUUAUUCAUCUUUAUUAGGUUUAAAGGGUACCUAGACGGUAUUUCUAGCCCAAAAUAGGGUACGGAUUUACUAGAGUUUUAUGUGAGGAGGGGAGUACUCGUGGAGUAGAGAUGAAAUUUUGUUAUACUAUGAGGUAACUGGUGGCGGCGAAAGCAACCUUCUAUGUAUAAACUGACGUUGAGGGACGAAGGCUUGGGUAGCAAAUAGGAUUAGAUACCCUAGUAGUCCAAGCAGACAAUUCUGAAUGCCAUAGAUUAGAUUUUUUUUGAUCUAUAAAUGAAAGUGUAAGCAUUCCACCUUAGGAGUAAUGUGGCAACACAGGAACUGAAAUCAUUAGACCGUUUCUGAAACCAGUAGUGAAGUAUGUUAUUUAAUUUGAUGGUCCACAAAAAACCUUACCACAACUUGAAUAUUUUUUAAUUAAUACAAGCGUUGCACGGCUGUCUUCAGUUAAUGUCGUGAGAUUUUGGUUAACUCCAUUAAUUAACGUAAACCCUUACUUUAUUUAU